rnacentral:rRNA from 1 species
GAUGAACGCUGGCGGCGUGCCUAAUACAUGCAAGUCGAGCGAACGGACGAGAAGCUUGCUUUUCUGAUGUUAGCGGCGGACGGGUGAGUAACACGUGGAUAACCUACCUAUAAGACUGGGAUAACUUCGGGAAACCGGAGCUAAUACCGGAUAAUAUUUUGAACCGCAUGGUUCAAAAGUGAAAGACGGUCUUGCUGUCCCUUAUAGAUGGAUCCGCGCUGCAUUAGCUAGUUGGUAAGGUAACGGCUUACCAAGGCAACGAUGCAUAGCCGACCUGAGAGGGUGAUCGGCCACACUGGAACUGAGACAUGGUCCAGACUCCUACGGGAGGCAGCAGUAGGGAAUCUUCCGCAAUGGGCGAAAGCCUGACGGAGCAACGCCGCGUGAGUGAUGAAGGUCUUCGGAUCGUAAAACUCUGUUAUUAGGGAAGAACAUAUGUGUAAGUAACUGUGCACAUCUUGACGGUACCUAAUCAGAAAGCCACGGCUAACUACGUG